rnacentral:rRNA from 1 species
GAUGAACGCUGACAGAAUGCUUAACACAUGCAAGUCAACUUGAAUUUGGGUUUUUUAACUUAGAUUUGGGUGGCGGACGGGUGAGUAACGCGUAAAGAACUUGCCUCACAGCUAGGGACAACAUUUGGAAACGAAUGCUAAUACCUGAUAUUAUGAUUAUAAGGCAUCUUAGAAUUAUGAAAGCUAUAUGCGCUGUGAGAGAGCUUUGCGUCCCAUUAGCUAGUUGGAGAGGUAACGGCUCACCAAGGCGAUGAUGGGUAGCCGGCCUGAGAGGGUGAACGGCCACAAGGGGACUGAGACACGGCCCUUACUCCUACGGGAGGCAGCAGUGGGGAAUAUUGGACAAUGGACCAAGAGUCUGAUCCAGCAAUUCUGUGUGCACGAUGACGUUUUUCGGAAUGUAAAGUGCUUUCAGUUGGGAAGAAAAAAAUGACGGUACCAACAGAAGAAGUGACGGCUAAAUACGUG